UACGUAGGGCGCAAGCGUUAUCCGGAAUUACUGGGCGUAAAGAGCUCGUAGGUGGUUUGUCGCGUUGUUCGUGAAAUGCCACAGCUUAACUGUGGGCGUGCGGGCGAUACGGGCAGACUGGAGUACUGCAGGGGAGACUGGAAUUCCUGGUGUAGCGGUGGAAUGGGCAGAUAUCAGGAGGAACACCGGUGGCGAAGGCGGGUCUCUGGGCAGUAACUGACGCUGAGGAGCGAAAGCGUGGGGAGCGAACAGG
rnacentral:rRNA from 1 species